AAUCAGCUGGCCUUGCAGAAUCUUGAACACAGGUGUUGUUUUUUCCUCUGAGAACUUCUUGUCAUACAGGGAUACAAAAAGAACUGCCGGGCUGUUUCUAACAGGGGUUUAUCAUGGCUGUCAUUUGAGAGGUUCCACCCAAGCAGCCAAUGAAAAGAGAUACAGAGACUCACAGUCAAACAUUAGAUGGAGCUUGGGGAGUCUUGUAGAAGACUUGGGGAAGGAUUAAGGGACCCGAAGGAGACUGGAACUCCACAGAAAGACCAACAGAGUCGAUUAACCUGGGGCCUUCUCCUUGGGGCCUUCCAGAGAUUGAACCACCAACCAAAGACCUGCCUGCAGAUAAAAGGACUUGCUCUAUUUCAUGAGGAUCCAGGCUGUUUGAUGUCAUUUUGGAAAGUUUUAAAGAAGAACAUGGAAGGAAACACAGAAGUAAAGUAACAGAGGCAGCUUCAGAGGGAAACAAUACUUCAUCUCUGCUCACAGGAAACUUCACUAUUCAAAUGCAUUCACUUCUCACAAAGCUUCUCCUCAAUUUCAGCCCAAACAUUGGAAACUGAGCCCAUUAAAUCAGAACAAAACCACUUUUGAAAACAGCUUUGGAAAAAUACAAUUUUGGCACAAAGGGAUAAGAAUCAAGAAGGAUGAAAAAUCAGAAUAAAAUUCAGCUCUAGAGGAACAAGUUCUCAGGACCUUGAAACUUUGUUGAAUCAUUCAUGGUUCACCAAGCACGUUCCAGUUCAUAAAGUACAUGAACUCAAAGCACACAGGGACCUGUCACGCUUCACAAAGUCUUCUAUUGUCAGUACCUAGAACAUCAAUGGCCCUGGGUUAAGAAGAUUUUCUCAGUGGUAAUUGUAAUUGAUGAUGGUGGUGAGGCAUCUUAUAAGGAAUGGGAAUAAAGUAUUUUGUGGAACACAAUCUCAUCACUUUGUACUUGUUACUGGCAUGGGUUUCUUACACAAACAUGCCAUUAUGUUUUGCUGGCACAUUUGCUACCACCAUUUUAUAGUGGAAAAAUGUGAAAUUAAAUAACUUUCUUUGAGAAACUGCAG
rnacentral:lncRNA from 1 species